ACUCUAUCUUUAUUCUUGUCCAAUGAAUAGCUUUUUUCUGAUUUUGAUGGA
rnacentral:tRNA from 1 species